rnacentral:lncRNA from 1 species
ACCCUGCCUUGGAUUUCACUCGAGUGUCGUAGGACUUGUAAACACUUGUUUUGGUGCAGUCGGUAGAUCCUUCAUCAAGGAAUAUGCCAUCGACAUUGUAGAAGGAGUAGUACUUGUCGAUAUCUGCCAGCACUAGAGCAGAGUCUCGGUUACCGUAGUUGGUGGAUACAUAGCCUAACACGAUCUUGACCGUGGAACUGCCCGCCUUCACUGUGUUGACGAGGUUAACAUAGUCGGCGUUAGAGGCGGUGCCCGGGCCACUGGCGGGGUUGAUGAUUACCAAUGUGGCUCCGGUUUUGAACACAUCCCAAGCACAACCAGCAGUACCGCUGCAAGGAUAGACGUAGGAAGGUACAUAUAUCUCCUGCUGGGUAUGCGCGCCCAAACCGGUGCUUGCAAAACUAGCAACAAGUAUCAGCGUCAUAACCGACGCGAGGGUCGCACGUGGCCGCAUUGCCGCCUGCGUGCAGAAAUUAGAACAAGCGAUAUUGUGAGGACAUGUCACCAAAUUCGCAGAAAAGCAGUAACUUAAGAUUAAAUCCCAUUUUGUGAAUUCAUUGACUCUUGACCAUACCAACCUCUACGCAAUGGUAUCCUCCAUCGGAGAACCCCUGAAAGCAUUGAGUAUUCUGCUGUCGAUACCACAAGGGUCACCAGUAGGAUGACCGAAUGCCCGCCCCAUAGACUCAGUUCUAGAAUUAUCGUUGCAACAAAUCCAAAUGAUCGGCUGUCUGAACUUGAUCAAAUGUGGCUCUAAGCUGUCAAACCAGCAUCUAAUCAGCGCUCUCAUAACUCUACUAGCUCUAGUUCAUUCAGAGCUUGCAGAAAACAGGCAACACACAGAGUAGUUGGUUGAGGAAUUCGAAGUGUCGCAAAAACAUUACAAAGCAGUUGGAGGGUGAAACGUUCCCUGUUGAGCUGUCCAUGCUUGAAAACUCUCGGAUCAUGCCAGGGGACAGAUGAUAUUGAUGGUGUGGAAAUGGGUGUUUCGAAGUUCGGACAGGACUCACCCUUUAUUGUCACAUCCGUGUAGUAAAGAGCAGCUUCAACAUAGAUUUAGUGAUGUAGGCGAGUACUAAACUUGGGCGAGAGAUCAGAUAAUCCAAGUUGUGUCGAUGUGUAUGAUGCGGAGAGAAACGUUUCACUUUUCAUGUUUGGCAAAACACAUGAAAGACAUGUGUCCUUUCUCAUUUUUUGCUUCAAGCAACUUGUAAUUUUGCUUCCCUUUACGUCGAAAAAAGCAAGGUAAGACAAAAGUGGUUUCAUAUAUUUAUUAUUACACUUCGUAGGAAAGGUACUUGUAAUUGGAUUUGAUGCAACAGUAACUUAUAGAGCUGGAAAGCUGUGAACAAUGUAUGAUCUUUGUAUAACCAAUUCUAAGAACGUCAAUGAAUCUGCUCAAUCUUGAUAAAGAGAAUUCUGUUGACACCCACUUGCAUUGACAGACUACAAUAAUCUCACACUGGAUUACACAGAGCUAUAAAAGUUAACGUUAAUCAAGAAUCUGACAAUCGAGAUAUCUGAACAGCACCCCAAUAUCGUACUUAAUUUAAUCAAACAUACAUCAUCAUGUACACAACAACGUAGGAAAGAAACAUAUACCCAAAUCAGACACUCAUAAACUGUGCUUGAUUAAUAUGAGCAGUGCCUAAUCUGCAUGAAACUAAGAAGUUAAACUAAAUGUGCUAGUUCAUGAGGUGGGUGAAGGGAGUAUUGCUGACAUGGCCAAGUGAGAAGAAUCGCAUUUUAAAGAUGCUUCCAAUAAACCACAAACUUGCACAAAUUUCGCCGUGUCAUCGCAGGUUUUUAGUUGUACAGCGGGGAUCAAUUCGGCAAACAUUGGCAUUGCUUCCAUUUGAGGAAAUGCUGGUUUGGGGAGAGGCAUUGUGGCAUUCAACAAACUUUGAAGCUUGAGCACAAGGACAGUGCUGGUCCGGUGAUAUCGUGACAUGAUUUGAUGCUGCACCAUCCUGUCUAACGACGACUACGUGUUUUGAGAACAUCAAGACAAGUUUCAACAGACACUUGGAAUUUUGCAACUUGCACGACUAAAUUUGAUACUAAAAAGUUGGUCUUUUUGUGGUUAUAUGUUUUUGUCAAUUUUAUUUUUCUUUUUGACUUUGGAGCGUUUAAUGUAGCUCAGCCAGAUGAAGGCAAUUUGAUUUCACGAUCUUAUCAACGCAUGCUACAAUUGUUACUGCUACCACGUGUGUUAGUACAACUUGAUGAAUCUGGUUCAUAUUUAUUCAGGGAGACGCAAUCUAUACACGCAGCCGAGCAUUCAACGUGUGGUAAGAAAAACGUGAUUUGCGCACUUCAGCUUCUGGGGCUUGUAGUGUCCAAUUUUGUUGGUGGAUUUUGGAUUCAUCUGAGAGCAAUCGGUGGUCUUUAGUGUGUGAACAAUUCGUUGGCAGCAUCCCUUUCGUGCAAUUCAGUGAGCAUCAUUAUGUUUUGGCGUCCAGGCGUGAUGAGAUGGAGAUCGGUGUUGCCCUCGGCCCCCACUCAAAUGUGCCACGUGUAUUCAACUGUGAGGAAUGAAAAUGGAUGUCGUUGUUUAAUCUUCCUUGCGUAUUCUCUGUGUGCGUGCUUUCCGCUGUCUGUUGACAUUAACGUAAUUGUACUCGAAGUCAACAAGCACCGACCUGUUGGACGCUACGCACGAGGUGGAAUUGUUGAAAUAGAAUGGGCUGCUGCCACUUGUUCUUCCUCGAGGCAUGACCAGACAAGGGUUUCAGUUCGUUCCGUGAGAAAAUACUACUCUGUAGCUCGUGGUUACAAACUUGGGCUUUACACUACUUGGGUUGAGUGUAGGCCCAUGGUUAAGGGUUUUCGUGGAGCCAGAUUCAAAGGUUGUAAGACACUAGCAUAUGCUGAAGCAUUCUUGGUCAACUAUGAUUAGAUUUUCUAUACUACCAUUAUGUAAUUUCAAACUUUCCUCAAUUUUGACAUUGAGCUUGUCCAUGCAACUUUCAAAUUUUAUUUUUUUGAUAAUUUUGUUAAUAUGUCUGCUAAUUAUUUUGUGGUUGGAAUAAAGUCUAUUUUCACUAUUUUGUCCUUGAUCUUCUGCCUCGUGAAAUGUAGAUUAAUUUCAAAAUGUUUUUUUUUGUCACUAAACAAAUCGAUCUUAGCUUUAUCAAGCUUUGAUUAUCACAUUAGAUAGUUGUUGGGGCAUGUUUCCUACAUCUAAAUUCUUACAUGAAUCUUCUCAACCAUAUAGUCUCACAUGUUGUAUUAGCCAAUGUUCUAUAUUUAGAUUUGUAUGAAGAUUUCAAGACCAUAUUUUAUUUUUUGCUACACUAUGAGAUUAGUGUUUUUCCAAUUUUGAACAUAUAUGCUUAUGUUGAGAUUUUAUCAUCUUGACCAUAUGUUGAAUUUGUAGUAGUUUACAUUAGAAUCUUGUUAAUGUACUUUCUUCUCUUUUUAAAAAUCAUAAGCAUAAUGAAGGAUGCUUGUGGAGAUAAUAAAAGAUGUAGUAUGCUCCUUGCAUUUGAAGGUGUCAAUGAGAUUGCAUAUAUCUAGUCAGUAUAAAAAUUACAAAACCAUUAUUCUAUUUGGUUUUAGUUAGGUAAUUUAGUUCUCUUAUAUGGCACUAAUAUUUUUAAGUAUCUACUAUUAUAUUGCUAUGCCAUGCACAUAUAUAUUUAUUGUAAUAUUUAUCUAUAUGAUUAAAUAGAAGUAGAUAAAAUUAGGUUCAUUUCAUAAUAUUUUUUAAAGCAGCUUUCUAGAAUCUUCAUAAAUGCUGCUUUGAUUUUACAUGUGUUUAUAGUUGAUUGAUAGGUUAGAAACUUAGUCAACAAGUUAACCACGUAUUAAUAGCUUAUAGAAUAAGUUAACUAUAUGGCGUACAUAUAAAAAACUUGCCUUGCAAGUUAAGAUACAUGUCUUGUAAAGUCAAUAUGUUUUGGAGGUCCUAUAGGAUAUUGCCACAUAGUUCCUAGUUAAGAGUAUAUAUGGAGGCAAGAAUAAAACCAUUUUAAAGUUUGAAUUUGUUUGAGUUGUCUAUGGAAGGAAAGAUUAUGGAUGCUACUUUCAAAAGAAGUGAGAAUACAUUUGUAACUAUUACAAAUCUUCAUGAACUUGUCAACACUCUAAGAGUAGAAAUCUCAUGUAUUUCCAAUGUGAAUCAUGGAGGUAUUAUUCCUAUGCCUAUGGAAGAAGUUCAGAUUCUAUGUUAAGAAGUUAUGCACUUGAAAGAAGUAAGUAGAUUGACCUCACAACCAAAUCCAAGUUAUUUUGCUUCUACAAAUAUGAUAAUGAUAUAAAAGAUAAGAGGUUUGUCUUUAGGUUUGGAGCAAGAAUUCUCAUAGAUAAACAAAGAGCAUAUCCUCAAGUAAAGAAGGAGCUUUUGAAAGCACUUAUAGCUAUAAAAGCAAACAAAAAUUACUUAAUUGGAGCCAAUGUGGUGCUAGAGACUCAUUGCUUAUCAUUAUUGGGUAUGAUUGCUAAUUGUUCUAUUCCUAAUAUUGCCAUGUUAAGAUAGAUAGUUUAUAUUAGAUCACUCAAGCCUAUGUUAGUGUACAUUUCUAGCAAGAAGGACUCUAUGGCAGAUAUGCUAUCCAAAGCGAGAUAUAUUUGUGAAGAAGAGAUGAAAAUACAAGAGAUUAGUGAAUAUGAUGAAGAUGAGGAGUAUGGCUAUUUAUUAGCCACUAAUAGAAUAAGCACAAGUGAUGAAGAUGUGACUUUUAGAGAAGAUUUUUAUGGAGGCAAGUUAAGAGACACUGAUAUCUAUUUUAUUACUAUGAAGAGACAAGAAGGUUAGUUAAAUAAGGCCUUCAAAGACAUCAGAUACCAAUCUUAUGAUUAUAUUUUGAGAAAUAGUUUUUUUAUGAAAGAGGCCAAAGAGGAUGGAUGGAAUACCAUUGAAAAUAAUAGAUAAUGCAAAAAUCAAGUAUCAAGUUUUUAAGGAGUUUUAUAAUAUACUUUCAACAGGUCACAAAGGAGUUUAGGCCACCUCAUAUAAGAUCAAGGAGCAAUAUUGGUGAAAGGACCUCUACAUAGAUAUAGAGGAAUUUGUGGCUUCUUGUACUGAAUGCCAAUUGUAGUCCAAAGUUAGAUUGAGAGAUGACUUACAUCCUACCUAUCUACUUGCUAUCCAUUUUUAAUAAGUGAUUGAUUUGGUGGCUAUACCAUUAAGAUUAUUGGGCAUGAAAUAUCUUAUUUUGGCAAGAGAAGAAUUUUUAAACUAUAUUAAAAGAAGAGCUUUGAGGACCAAAACCACAAAAAGAGUAUGUAGAUUCAACUUGAAAGAUAUCUUUAAUAGAUAUGGUAGCAUUGAAAAGAUAAAGGCUGAUCAUGGAAAAUUGAAUAAAAUAGAGGCCAAAGUUUUUUUUCGAAGAUAUGAUGUGAAGUUGAAGCUAACAACUACUUAUAAUCUUGAAGCUAAUGGCAAAAGCAAGAGAGGACAUCUUCCUAUCAUUAAUGUUCUUAUUAAGGGUUGUAGAGGUAAGCCAAAGUAAUGACUAAGACUUCUACUAUUUCCUUUAUAGACAGAUAGGACUAUCCAUAGUAUUGUUACUAAUUAUAUGCUUAUUGAGUUAAUGUUGGAUCAAAAACCAAUCAUGUCUGUGGAAGAUUUUGUGCCUACUUAGAUAUUAUUAGAUUAAAAGGAUGGUAUGAUAAGAAAGAGAUUAUUGGAGCUCUAGAUUGAGCAGCUUGAAAGCUUAUCUAAAGAUUAAGAGAUUGCAUUGAAAAAACUAAAGAUUGCCAUGUUGAAUAACAAAGAGAGGUUUGACAAGUUCCAUCAUUUGAAGUUCAAAUCAAUUGAAGUUGGAGAUUGGGUGUUAAUGUUUGAUAGUAGUUUAAAACAUCAACAUAGCAUUGUUAGGAAGUUUGCUUGAAGAUAGUUUGGACCAUAUAUUGUAACAAUAGUGCAUGACAAUGUUACUUAUUUACUUUGUGAGUUAGUGUCAUCAAUAUAUAUCUAUUGUAAUUGUUAUCUAGAUAGAUAGAAUUAGAUAAAAGUACAUUAAUUUCAUAAUACCUUCUAAAAAUGAUUCCUAGAAGCCUCAUAGAUAUUUUUUUGGCUUUACAUAGAUUUAUAGUUGAUUAGUAGAUUAGAAACUUAGUUAACAAACUAUCCAUGUGCCAUAUGUGUUGGUAGCUUAUGGAACAAGCUAACUAUGUAGUGGCCAUAUAGAAAACUUACCUUAUAAGUCAGAAUAUGUAUCAUGCAAAGUCAACACAUUUUUGGAGGUCCAAUAGAACGUUGCCUCAUAGAUACUAGGUAGAUAGUAUAUAUAGAGGUAAGAAUAAAGCCUUCUUCAUUCUUAUCAAUUCCUUUCUUGCUUCUUAUCUAAAUUCAAAUGUCUCUAGUUUCCUUAUCUUUGGACAAUAGUUAUUUCAAUUUCUUUUUAAUAUACAUAGUAUUUUAUUUUUAUUUUUUCACUUUUUUUUUAUAUAGAUUUUUAAGUUUAUACAUCUUCUUUCAAUUCAUAUUCUUAACAAUUGGAUGGCACAAUGUUGAAGAUAUAUGUUACUAGAAAGCAAAUUAAAGUAUUCAAGAGAAGAUAUGAUAGAUUUAUUUUAAGUAAUCUUUUAGAUUUUGAAACAUUAGAUUUGGACCAAAUAGAAGAUGCAUAAACAGAUGGAGAUGGUGAAGAAGACAAGCAUGGUUAGAUUGGCACAUUCUAGAAGAUGUUUAAAUUUUGAGUAAGUGGAUGUCAUAUUAUAAUUAUUUAUAGUAUGUAAAAAUUAAUUAAAAUAUAUAAUAUAUUUAUAAGUCUUGAUAUACUUUAGAAUGGUUAAUAGAUUAAUUUAAAGAAAGUUGAUGUAAAAAAAUUUAUUUUGAAGUUUACUUAUAGAUAUUUAGUAUAAAACUUAAAGAAAAGAUUGGAGCUCAAAGAUAAAAAUCCAAACCUCUAAGAAACUUAUUUGGAGAGAUGAAAGUAAUAUAUGAAUGGAUGAAGGCAAAAGAUAAAGAUCUUCAUUCCUAUUAAUCAAAGGCCAUGCCCAAUAGACAUUUAACAAGCUAUCCACGACCAUAAUAAGAGUUUUGGAAAUUUUUUUAAAAAAAUUUGAGAAUCAAAAUCAAAGAUUGUAAGGUUUAGGAUUUGAGCCACAAUCUUUGUAUAAAUUUUAAGGGAUUUGGAAUUAAGAUGAUGAAGUUAUAGCCAUUUAAAAUUAAAGUAUCUUUUUAAGAUGUACUAUUGCUCUUUUGAAGAUACAAGGAGUUUUAUGAUAGAUUUUGAAAAUCAAGAGAUGCAUCUACAAAGAUAAUUUUAAGAUUUAUAUCUAUUACGAAAGAAUUUUUGCAUUUAGAAUUUUUAUAAAGAAGUUAUAGAGCAUUAAAGACCAUACAUGUAAUUCAAAGGUAAUAAGUGAAUCAUUUUGUUGAUAGUAAUGGUUCUAGCCAUAUCUUGAGUUUUUAGAUGAAUUUUUGGCUCAAAAUUUUCAGAAGUGUGUUAUUAGGUUAAGAAGCUAUAUAUCAAAUUUUUAUGGUAUUUGAAUACUUAAUUUGUGAGAUAUAAAGAAAAUUACACACAGAUAUAUAUAAGUAAGGGUUUGAAGUUACUGUUAGGAUUUUGGCAAUAUUUCAAGAUCUAUAAUAAAUUUACGAUUGAAAUUUUUUGUGAUAGUUGUUAAAAGUAUAUUAAUACUUUAUCUAAAAUUUUGGUUUGUUUGGAUAGUUCAAUCAUGUGAUAUGAGCUGUUGAAGUUCAAGAAAAUUUCACCUUAAAGAUAUAUAAGGUUUUAUAAUAUUUUAAUCACAUUUUUGGUGAUCUUUGGUAUUUAGAGCUUAUAUAUUGAUGUAAUUGCCUCUAUAGAGGCAAUUUUUUGAGUAACUGAUAGUGCAUUGUACUCAAAUAAUUCUUCCACAUUAAUGAUAGUAUUUGAGUAACUAGUUAUAUAUAUAACUCUAUAGGGAGAAUUAUAUAUAUAAACUUGAUGUGUUUUUUUUUUUCUUUUUUUCUUUUUUUUUUUUUAUUUAGAGGCUUGGCUGAGUAAUUAGUGAUAGCAAGAAGCCCAUCACUUUCUUAAGGCAAAUUCUCUCUAUGAUGACAACAUUUAGGAAUUUGGAUUCUAUUUUAAUUAUAUGUUAUACAUAUUUUAUAAGAAAUAUUACUAAUUGAAUGAUGUAGUGAUUUAAUGAUUAGAUUAUAAUAUAUCAUAUAUUAUAUGAUUUGAUAGUGAAAAUGCAUUAAUAUGUAGUGCCAUAUCUUAUUUGUUGCUAUAGAUUUUGGCAAAGUAUCACAGAUAGUUGUUACAGUGUAUGCUUUGAAAGGCCAGACCUUUAAAUAUUUCAAUAAUGUAUUUUUUAACAACAUGUACAACUAAUUGUAUACUUGACUAUGUACAUGUGUUACUAUAUGACUUAUAUUAUUUUUGAUUAAAUAGAUGUAUGCAUGAAAUUCUAGGACAAAUCUUCUUUUAAUAAAAAAGUCUAAGAAAAAAUAAUUUUUUUUAAAAUUCCAAAUAAAUAAAAAAUAUAAUUAAUUUUAUAAAUUACUUUUGAUGAAAGCCAAAUGGCUAGGUUUCUUACCUCAAUAAUACUAUGGUCGUGUCUCCUAGCUCAAGUAAUUUUAGUAUGACUACUUGAUUUUAGUAACAAAAAGAUAGAUGGAUCUUUCAACACAUAGUAAAAUAUUUUAGAGUUGAGAAACCAAGAUAUUGCAAUUUUUUCACUCUUGACUAGAUUCACUUUUACAAAACAUGUAUUUGUAGUAUGAGUAACUGAUAGUGCAUUGUACUCAAAUAAUUCUUCCACAUUAAUAUGUAUCUUAGGUUGACACUCCUACAUUUGCAAUUCUAAAUCUUCUAUUUUGUCCACUAUAGAUUACAACUUGGAUUCCAUAUCCAUAUUUUUGUUUGCAGGGCAUUGUUCUAAAAGUGAUUUUGGUAGAAGAUUCUUUUAUAUGAUCUAAUUCUACUUAACAUGUUACUAUUAUAAUGAUAUAUUUUAUUAUUGUAUUGUAACAUGACUAUGAAGUAAAAAGAGAAGAAAAAAAAAGAUUAUAUUAUGGAAGAGCUUAAAUAAAAAUACUAUAAAAAAUUAUCUUAAAAUUAUAGAUAAAAAUUAAUAAGUACUAAUGUUGUCUUUUUAUAAAAAAGAAUUUUAUUUUGUAGGGCCAUAAAUGAGACAAAUCAAAGUAGAUAAAUAUAUAUAUAUAUAUAUAUAUAUAUAUAUAUAUAAGCUUCUUAAAGAAGGAAUUAAAAAUAAAUUUUAGUAAAAAUUCCCUUAAGAAACCAAGAAUUGAUACCCUAAGAGAAUUAGUUAUAAACCAUGGAUGAAAACAAAUCCUAAGAUACAAAACUAUGUACAUAUGGUAAAUUUAAGAUUCUUUCAUAAAUUGGAAAGUAGAAUUUGAAAGAAAAUAAGAAAGAGUUUUUUUGGGCAUUGAUUUUGAAUGAAUUAAUUUUACAUUGGCUUUACAAAUUUAAGGUUGUUUCAUAGUUUAUUUGGAUUUUGAGAAAUAUAAAGAAUUUAUACUUUGGAGAAUUGUAUAAAAUUGUUAGAUGAUCUAUAAGUUAAAUUUUAGAAUUUUAUAAUCAAUAUUGUAUUAAAUUAAUAUUGUGAGUUCAAGCUCAAUUUAAUAGUUUAUUCAAAGGUUAUUAUAAUUUAAAUAUAUUAUAGUCUCAGAAAUUUGAAUUUAGAGGAUUAAUAUGAGUUUUUGAGAUUUAUAAAAAUCUGCUAAUUGGAUUAAAUUAAAAUUUUGUACAAUAGUAGAAGAAUUGAUUUUAAAUAACUAAAAAAUCUUAAAAGCUAUUAAAAAAUAUAAAUGAGAGAUAUUAGUGCUCAAAGAUUGGCAUUAAGAUUUGAGAAGGAUGCCAACUAAUACGCAAGCAGAUUUUAGAAUUUAUCUUCUACUUAGUAAGUUCAAUCUUCUUCAAAUUUCUUAUACUUAUUUUUAAUUUAAUAAUUUAAAGGUAUACAAAUCGUAAGUCAAAAUCUAUAAUUAUAUUAUUAGUUAUUGAAUUUUUAAUUUUUUGUAGGAUGGAAUAAGAGUUUUUUUAAAAUUUAAGGUUAAAUUAGGAUUUUAUUAAGGUUUAAUUAAGAUUUUAAUUCACAAUUUUUAAUCUUUAAUUGCUUAUAUUUUUUUUAGUGAGAAAUAUUUGUUUGUUUUUUUAUUUUUUUUGUUUUAUUUUUUUAUUUAUUUUUUAUAUAUAUCUGCAUUAAUUUUUAUUAGCUUCUUAAUAAAUAGGUAGAUAUAAAAAGUCACAUAAGUAUUUUAAAUUUAAUUUUAAUAUAAUUUCAAUAUAAUUUAUAAAGUUAAAAUUGAAAUAGUAUAAUUCCAAGAUAAAUAAAGAAUUGUUUCAAUUUGAUAUUGAAGAUAUGAUAAAUGUUAAAGAUUAAAACAUAAUUUUGGAUAUUUUUUUAUAAAAUUAAAAAGUAUAUAGAAAAAUUCAAUUUUAUUUAAUAGUAAGAAGAGAAGAUGUUCAUAGGAAUAUAAAAAAAAUUUCUACAACAUUAAUUAGCUUGAAGGAAAAAUGAAUUUAUUAGAGUAGGUGACAUGAUGUCAUAGACAUACAUAUUUAUUUCUAAUAUUUAUGUAUAUGAUUAAGUAGAAGUAGGUUAAAAUAGAAUUAUUUCAUAUUAUUUUUAAAAAAAGCUUUUUAGAAGCUUCAUAGAUGUUAUUUUGACUUAAUAUAUAUUUUUAGUUGAUUAGUAGAUUAAAAAUUUGAUUAAUAAGCUAAUCAUGUAUUAAUAGCUUAUAGAAUAAGCUAAUUAUAUAACACACAUGUAAAAAACUUGCAUUACAAGUUAAGAUAUGUAUCUUGUAAAAUCAACAUAUUUUGGAGGACUUAAAGGAUACUGCCACAUAGCUCCUAAUUAAGAAUAUAUAUAAAGGCAAGAGUGAAGCCUUCUUCACUCUUAUCAAUACCUUUCUAGUUCUUAGUCUUAUUCCAAGAUUUUUUAAGUCUUCUUGUUUUUGGCAAAAGCCAUUGUAAUUAAAUAUCAUAUCAUCUUUGAGUGAUUUUUUAGUCUUUUCAAGUCACAAAAGAAUGUAUUGACAUUUUAAUUCUUUGAGGUCCAUGUCUUUCAUAGUUUAAUAUGAGUGCUAACUUAUUGUUUCUAUCUUCUUUUAAAGUAAGUAUAUUAUUCUACUUUUAUUAUUAUAUUUUAAAGUUUACAGAUUAUCCACUUUUAAAUAAACUAUUUAAUUUUUUAAUAUCAAUUUUUUUCCUUAAAGAUAGUAGAUUAUCUUUCUUUUCAAAAAAAUUCAUUCAAUAUUAGAGGUUGUGAAUUAUCUUCUUUUAAUUUGAUUUGUAAAUUUUUUAAGUUAUUUAAAAUAGAAGGAAAAAUCAUGGAUGCUAUACUUGGUAGAAGUGAAGUUAGAUUUGCAACUAUUGCAGAUCUUUACAAACUUGUCAACACUCUUAGAAUAGAAAUUUCAUGCAUCACUAAUAUCAACUACAAAAAUGCUAAUCCUAUACAUAUAGAAGAAGUUUAAAAUCUUCGACAAGAAGUUGUACAAUUGAAGGAAGCAAAUAGAUUGACCUUACAACCAAAUUCAUAAAAUUUUGCUUCUAUAAGUAUGAUAAGGAUACGGAUUAGUAUGCCCAAUAAGUUUAAUGGAACAAAAUCAAAAUUUUAAGGAUUUCUGCAACAAGUCAAGUUCUAUUUAAGAUUGCAUGUCUUUUAAUACCCUAAUGGAUUUACUUAAGUUGAAUUUAUAGAUGCACUUCUAUCUAAAAGUGUUCUUUCUUGAUUUGCAUCAUUAAUGAAAAAAGAUUCACAACUCUUUUAUGAUUUGAAUUUAUUACUAAAAAUAUUUAUAAUUAUAUUUAGAGAUAGUAAUUGAAAAAGAAUAGUAGAAAUUAAUUUCUUAUUUUUACAAUAAGAAUCACAAUCAGCUAUCAUAUGUAUUAUUGAAUUCCAAAACCUUGCUUGUGACAUGGAUUAGAAUGAUAAAACACUUAUCAAUUAAUUUCAAUAUGGAUUAAAGAAUAAUGUCAAAGAUUUGUAAUUGAUAAUAUCAAAAGCAAAAUCUUUAGAAAAAUUUAUUAUUUAAGCCAUUGCAUGCAAUAAUUGAUUAUAUAAAAGAUACCAAAAAACAAAGACUUGCUUGAAGAAGAACAAGCCAAGUAAUAACUAUAAUUCUUAAGUUUUCAAAAACUUAUUUAUCAAGGCCAAAAUCAAUGUAAAUUGAUAUGGUAUAUUUUAAAUCCCUCAUUGAGCAAGAAAAGACUUGAUGUCAUCAAGAGGAUUUAUACUUAUAUUAUGGAGAAGCUAAGCUCAGUACUUAAUAUUAUCCAAAGAAAUAAGAUAAUUACAAAAUGAGAAGUACAAUUACCAAAAAAGAUAAUAUAAUGGAAAAUAAGUUUUUUCAACUAUAAUACAGACAAUGCAGCUAGAAUUAUGUGUAAUAUCUAGUAAAGGUUCUAUUCUUUUCUUAGAUCUUUCACCUUAUUUUAUAAUAGAUGUGUAUUUAAGACCUAAAAAUCACAAAGUCUUUACAUUAUUAGAUCCAAGAGCUUCAACAUAUUUUAUAGACAAAUAUUUUAUUAAAAAAAUAAAAAAUAUCUUUAGUGAAGAAAACUAAAUCCGUACAUAUAGAAGUCAUAGAUGGUCGUUCGUUUACUUUUGGAGUCAUUAUUCAUGAGACUAUUCUUUUAGAUGUGGAAAUUAAAGAUUGUAAUAGUAUAAUAAUAUUUAAUGUAAUAAGAUCUCCUUUCAAUCCAAUUAUCUAAGGAUUAUUGUAGUUAGAAAAAUACAACCUUCAAAUAGAUUGGAUUUAUCCUAACCUUAACUUUUCUUGUAAUUUAAUCCAAAAUUUCAAUAGUGAAGUAGAAAUAGAUAAGCCUGGUACAUCCAAAUUCUUAUUGAUAAGUGUAAGAGCUUUCAUGUAUGUGACAAAAGAAGGGUCAUCUUUUGCUAUAUAUGCCACACCUAUUUUUGAUGGUGAAAAGAUGUCAAAUCAUAUUCCUAAAUAAUAUCAAGGUUUACAAGAUUUUUUUUUUUUUUUAAAUGUAAAUAUUUUUCUAAAGAAUUGACCUUGUGAUUAUACAAUUGAUCUACAAGAAGGAGCUCAACCACCAUUUGGACUAUUCUAUAUUUCAUUAUAAAAUGAGUUUGAUGCAUUAAAAGAGUACAUUGAUAAAAACUUGACUAAGAACUUUAUACACCAUUAAAAAUAUCAAUAAGAAUCCUAUCUUAUUUAUAAAAGAAAAAGAUGGAUCUUUAUAGAUGUAUUUAGACUAUUGAGAAUUUAACAAGAUCACCAUCAAGAAUAGAUAUUUUCUACUUUUGAUUUUAGGACUUUUUUAUUAAUUUGAUUAGACAAGGAUCUAGACAAAAAUAGAUCUAUGAAGAACACACAAUCUGGUCCACAUCAAAGAAGGAGAUGAGUGGAAGAUUGCUUCUUGAAUUAGGUAUGGAUAUUUCAAAUAUAAUGUUAUAUCUUUUAGAUUCUUAAAUAUACCAGCUGCUUUUAAUAUCUCAUGAUUGAUGUCUUUUUUGAAUUUCUUAAUAUUUUUAUUAUCUAUUAUUUAGAUAAUAUUCUAAUCUACUUUAAAAACAUAAAAGAAUGUGAACUUCAUAUUCAUCAUGUAUUACAAAAAUUAAGAAAUGUAAGAUGAUAUGUCAAGAUAAGAAAGCAUGUAUUUCAUACUACUUGAGUUGGUUUCUUAGGAUGUUUCAUUUCCAACAAAUGAUUAAUAAUAGAUCUUUAGAAAUGAUAUUUCAUACUACUUGAGUGAAGUAGAGAAGCUGAAACAUCUUUUGAAGCAUUAAAGAAAGCAUUUAUUUUUACACCAAUUUUAUAUUGUGUCAAUUUUUUUAAGGUAUUUUUUAUGGAAAUAUGCACAUCACACUUUGCUAUGGGUGCUACUUUAUUGCAAAUAGAAGUUGAUAAUAAGCUUUAUUUGAUAGCUUUUUAUUCUAAGAAAUUUUUAACAAUUGAGAUCAAGUAUAAGAUCUACAACAAAAAUCUGCUUAAAAUUGUGGAUUUAUUUCAAGAAAGGUAUCAUUAUCUAAAAGAUACUUAUAAUACAAUUAUUGUAUAUAUGGAUCACAAGAACCUUAAGUACUCCAUAUCAGCAUGUAUUUUUAAUUGUUGCCAAGCUCUUUCAAGUAUGUCUUUGUUAAGAUUUGAUUUCAAGAUUAUCUAUAGACUUAGAAAACAAAUAUGUUUAUUAAAUAUUUUUUUUAGACAUUCUUAUCUUGUACCAAAAGAAGAAGAUGUAUUUUUUUAUCAUUAAAAAAUAAUUCUCUUGAAGUUUGAGUAUUUUUAUCUUUGAAUAAUAAAAUCAACAUGGAUUGUUGAUUCAACCUUUGUUAAGCAAAUUCAAUCAAGUAUGUCCUCUAAUCCUCUUGUUCAUGAUAUCAAGAAUAAUUUUUCUAAGUUUCAUAAUACUUCAAAGUUUGAGUUCAAGAAUAAUAAACUCUACUUUGAGAAACAAUUAUACAUUUGAAAAGGUGAAGUACAAUUACAUACUUUUCAAGAUCAUCAUGACUUUCCAAUAGUCAGACAUUUUGGAUACAAUGAGACUUGAGAGCUAAUAUCUAGAGAUUUUUGGUGGCCUCAAAUGUGGAAGGCAAUCAAAGACUUUGUACAAUCAUGUAAUAUUUGUUUAAGAUCCAAAACUCUUUGUCAUUGACCUUAUGGACUUCUUCAGCCAUUAUCUAUUCUAAAAUAAUUAUCUUCUGUUUCUAUAGAUUUUAUUAUGGAUCUUUCAAUCUUAGAUUUUUAUGAUUCUAUAUUUGUAAUAGUAGAUUUUUUUACCAAGAUAUUUUAUUUUAUACCAUAUAUAAAAUCUAUCACAAGUGAAGAAAUGCCUAAGCUUUUUCUUGAUAACAUUUAUCUCUAUUAUGGAUUGCUUAAAGAUAUUACAUCACAUAGAAAAACUCAAUUUAUAUAAAGAUUACAGUGAAUCCUUUUUAAAAUAUUAAAGGUGAAUAUAAAGCUCUCUUUGGCUUUUCAUUCUUAAAUUGAUGGAUAAAUAAAAUGGAUAAAUCAAAUUUUGGAGCAAUAUUUGAGGUGUAUCAUCAAUUAUCAUCAAGAUGAUUAAACAACUCUUUUGUCAUUGGUAGAGUUUGUAUACAAUAAUUAUGUAUAUUUUUCUAUUCAAAAAAUACCUUUCUUUGCCAAUUAUAGUUAUCAUCCAUGACUUAGUACUUUUGACUUUUCAAAAGUUGAUAAUGCUACGAGAGAAGAUUUGGAAAAUUGUUUGUCAAAGCUAUAUGCAACAAUGAAGGCAUAGUUAAAAGAAGCUCUAGAAUAACAAAUAAUCAAUGUAGAUGCCUAUUUUAAGAAACAACCACAAUUCAACAUAGGUGACAAGAUAUAAUUACUUCAUUGCAAUAUCAAGAUUACUUAUCUUUAUGACAAGUUAGACUAUUCUAGGCUUAGUCUUUAUUCUAUUAGUGAACACAUCAAUCUUGUUGUUUAUUAAUUAUAUCUAUCAAAAUAUAUGAAAAUUUCAUCUUAUAUUCUAUAUAUCUCUUCUUGAGCCAUAUAAGACAAUGAAUAUCAUGAAAAGAAGACAAAUGCCACUUCCUCCUAUAAAAGUGGAUAAUAAUCAAAAGUUUGAAGCGCAAGAAGUUUUAGAUUUAAAGAAACACUAAAAUAGAUUAGAAUAUCUUGUUCAUUGGUACUAAAAUAAAUUAAAAUAUCUUGUUUCAUUAGAAGUAGAAAUGACUCUUGAUGAUAUUCUGAAUGUUUUAUUUGAAAAAAGUUACAAAGGCCUCAAUAAUGAUUAAAUAAUAAAAUGAUCUUUCUACCUUGAUAUGGGAUACUAUCUAUAGCUAAGAGGACCUAUCAAUCAUCUUCAAAGAAAACAAAGAUCAAAAUAUGUGGCAAAUAUAAUUUGUUGCAUCUUGGAUUUUUUCAAUAUGUAAUGACCAUUCUUUAUGCAAUUCAUCCCUAAAAGAGGAGGUAAUGUCAUGAACUUACAUAUUUAUUCUAAUAUUUAUCUAUAUGAUUAAGUAGAAGUAGAUAAAAGUAUAUUUAUUUUAUAAUAUUUUUUAGAGAAGCUUCUUAAAAGCUUCACAUAUACUACUUUGACUUUAUAUAUAUUUGUAGUUAAUUUAAUAGAUUAGAAACUUGAUCAAUAAAUUAAUCACAUAUUGGUAGCUUAUGAAAUAAGCUAAAUAUGUGGCGCGUAUAUAGAAAACUUGCCUUGCAAGUUAAGAUACAUGUCUUGCAAAGUCAACAUGUUUUGGAGAUCCAAUAGGACAUCACCACGUAGCUCCUAGUUAAGAGUAUAUAUAGAGGUAAGAAUAAAGCCUUCUUCAUUCUUUUCAAUGCCUUUUUAGUCUCUAGUCUUGUCUUAAGAUUUUUUAAGUCUUAUUGUCUUUGGCAAUAGCCAUUCUAAUUUAAUACUAUAUCAAUUUUGAAUAAUUUUUUAAUCUUUUUAAGUAACAUAAGAAUGUAUUGACAUUUUAAUUCUUUGAUAUUCAUGUCCUUUAUACAUAAUCCUAUAACUAAUGUUGUCACAUUUGAACAAUGACAAGUAAAGCAAGAAGUUUAAUAAAUAUUAGAAUUUGAAGAGCAAGAAAGUAGUGUUGGUUGUUAUUCCUUAUAAAUUUACUUUUACUUGAAACUAAAAUAGUUUCUCAAUUUCAUUGAUAAUAUUGAGAUGAUCAAAAGUAAGGGUGUAUUAGAUAUUAUUGUUGUCUUGAUGAAUGACCAAUUUUUCAUGAAGACAUAGGAGUGUAUUUGUAAUGGUCUUGAAUACCUCAAAUUUAUGGCCAAUGGCUCAUUAUGAUAUACUAACGUAUUGGAAUUAGAAUUAGCCUUAUUCAAUAAAAUAAUUGAGUAUUUAUUCUUAUAUAUUUUUCCUACUCAUCAAUAGUUUGAUUGUAAAAGAUACAAGUAUUAAAGGAGGAGAUGAAUUUCUAAUCUUUGAUGCUAAAGAAGAAGAAUUGGAUGAUAAUAUAGUAUAGAACAACUGCCUACAAUAUUAUUUAAUUAUUUCCUAUCCACUAUUCUAAUAUAGUACUAUAAUGAUGCAGAUUAUUUAUGUGACUAAGUUUAUGUGCCACCCCAUAUUACCACACUUGCCAAAUUCAUUAUUCAUGUCAUAUAUAUUGGAAGUAAUCAUUCUUAUUGAUUUAAAAAUUUAUUUAUUUUUUCUUCUUUGCAAUAUUUUUGACUCCAUUAUUAAGACUUAUUUCCAAAAAAAUAUUAUAUUUAUAAUUUAAUUAUUAUAGGUUUUCAACAUCAUGCAAUAUGUAAUCAAAUGUCAAUUCUUUAUCUUCAAUUCAUUAUUCCAUCUCCACUAUUAAAUUGUUCCAUCUCCUCUAUUAAAGGAGACUUUGAAAGUUGCCAACAUCAAACCAGAUCAAUGCUCUGCACUGCAAUAUUAAACAAAAUCAGUGCAUCGAAACACAUCGAAACACCCCUCAUAGGCCAAAGGUUCAAUACUCAUGCAGACCAUGAACUUGAUUUACAGCUACGAUUUACUCAGUGUCGGUCACUAUACGCCAGUAGUUCUGAUGAAACCCCUGACGGUGAUGAAAAUAAAAGUUUCAUGAUCCGCACAACAGCCACAACAUAUCAAGCAACAAUGUAGAUCCUAAAUUCCUGAGUUCUCUUAGCACUGCGGCAGAUAAAUAUAUGUGGAAGAGUCCUCAACACACCCUUGUUAUCUGAGAGUAAAGGGAAACUGAUCAAGAAAGUGGAUUACGCCCACUCAAGGAAACAAUCAAUAAAGGCACCGUAAAUCAGCAUCACACAUUCAUCUAGGGGUCGUGAGCUUAGACCCAACGACGUUGGGCUUAUUAUACUUGGUCACAUGGACGGAGUAAAUGGGGUUUGCGGUGCGGCCGAAUUCACAUACAAUAGCAUGCUGGACUCUCGGUUUGAAGUCGACGACUGCCGGAGCAUGAGAACCUGAUGAUCGACCGAUCAGGUGCAACUCUUGGCCUUGUUGACUUGUGCGGUCCACAGAGCCGAUGCUGGGGCAGUGUCGAAUGGAUUGGACAAUACGUCAUUUGUGAUGUAGACCUGCCCUACGUUUCGAGUCUUGGCCGUUCCUACUGCUUGCGUGACCGCUGUUGCGUUGUUGGGGGCGGUGUGGAGGAUAUUCCAAAACCGAGAAGAGUCGUAUUUGUUUACCCAUGACGGAACAGCGCUCGCAUAGGCACUGGUGUAUUGGGCGAAUGUAUCUGAUGCCAGAUGGAACAUGUCAGUAUUUGCAAACAUGUUACACGUGGAGAUGCAUGAAUUUUACAGCAGAUAACUUGCUUUUCAAAGCGUGAGUCCGGAAGAAGAUGAUGCUGUGCCUCGGGACCCAUGUUCUACAUUCUUACACUAGGUCUUGCUUCGCACAAUGACGGGCUCGACAACUACGUGCAAACCUGAACUUCCGUCAAAGACAACGCGUCAAAGCAGGACACAAGUGUGUGACACUAACCAUCAUCGUACACCAUGUGCUCGGCAUCCACUUGUCUGAUGCACAUGCAAAAAACACAUAUUACAAGUGCCGUGAUGGACUUACUUUCGAAAUUCACGUAAUUGUCGAUGUGGGUGCUGGUGAGAUAGCACUCAGGGCCGUAAACACCCCAAUUCAGCACGGUGUACCCCAACCCUGCCUUGGAUUUCACUCGAGUGUCGUAGGACUUGUAAACACUUGUUUUGGUGCAGUCGGUAGAUCCUUCAUCAAGGAAUAUGCCAUCGACAUUGUAGAAGGAGUAGUAC